CCCUUAGAUGUUCUGGGCCGCACGCGUGCUACACUGAUGCAUUCAACGAGUCUAAAACCUGGUCUGAUAGGGCUGGGUAAUCUUUUGAAAGUGCAUCGUGAUUGGGAUAGAUGAUUGCAAUUCCUCAUCUUCAACGAGGAAUGCCUAGUAAACGCAAGUCAUCAGCUUGCAUUGAUUACGUCCCUGCCCUUUGUACACACCGCCCGUCGCUCCUACCGAUUGAAUGAUCCGAUGAAUACCAUGGAUUGAGAGUACGAAUAGGUUCGCUUAUUUCUGCUGCUCGAGAAGUGGAGUAAAUCUUAUCAUUUAGAGGAAGGAGAAGUCGUAACA
rnacentral:rRNA from 1 species